CACCCAUGAAGGAUCCGUCGUGGCGCCAGACUAGCGUCAAGCCCCCCGCCUAGUCAAGAGUCCCGAUCGAUGAGACGGAUCCGCCGGUGGAUGAUCGUGUUCCAAAUUUUUGGGGCACAUGACGGUAAAGAUCAGUAGCAAAUUUCGGUUACCUAGUGAGAAUACAAUGAAUGGAUUGUGGCCUAUAAAGAUUAGUAGCAAAUUGUCAAUCCCCCCACCUAGUCAUGUGUCCCAAAGCUUGGGUCACACGGUAUGGUUGAGACGGAUCUGCUGGUGGGUGAUCGUGUUCCAAAUUUUUGGGGCACAUGUCGGUAUGCUCGAGACGAAUUCUUGGUCGGUGAUCGGUUCCCUAGUGAGAAUAUAUUGAAUGGAAUGUAGCCUAUAAAGAUCAGUUGCAUAUUGUGAUUUGUUGUCUAGCGUCCCUGUGGUUGCUUCACAUGUCCCGAUGCUUGUCUAUAACAAAGCUAGGCUUCAAGACGGUUGGUUAGUGAUUGGUUACCUAGUGAUAAUAUACUGAAUGGAUUGUUGAGGGUUGGAAACAUGGACGUACAAACACCAAUCGGCCUUUGUCCCGAUUGCUGAGUGUUAUGUGCUUGAUGUUGAAGAUUCUUGGCGUCUUUGAUGUAUGUUACAUAGAUAAUCAGUUGCUUUGCGGCAUAAUAGAGCUAAUCAGUUGGCUUGCAACAUAGCAAUUUUGUCUUAGAUUUCAUUGAGGCAUGGUGACCAUAGGGAUGGGAAGGUGGCUUUCGAGAAAUUUCGCAUCGUUCGGUUCAUUUUGGGGGCUAUUUUGGCUUUUGGUUGCCUACAUGGUGAUUGUGCUAUGUUGGUGGCUAAUUGUUGGAUGGUCUUCGAGUAUGUAGGCCGUAAAGGUGCAUGAGUGGUGUUUGGUUUGUUAUGGGUGGUUGGCUCUUUGCUUGUGCAACAACUUCCACCUGUCUUACCUUUUCAGAAUAUGUUUGGGCUUGGUAAGUCUAAGCAAUUAUUGGGUUUUCUGUGCUCACUUCCUAUGUUAUGGCAUUCUCCUGAUUGAUUGGUCUUACUUUUUGACGUGUGUCAUUGUCAUGAUACAUGAGAACUUUGAAGUAGUCAUUUGUGCCACAAUCUUAAUGCAUGCGUUAAUCUUGUGGCUUAGUGGGUGUUGCUUGGUAUCUUGAAUAUAGAAUAUGAUGUGGGCAAAAGGGGUUUCUUGUAUCCUUGAUUUGUCCUUAUUCAGCGUUCAGACUUUAAGAAAAUGACUGUUUAUCCCGUCUUGUGCUUGUGCUAAAGCGGGGGAGAUGUGUCAAAGAAGAAUGCUAC
rnacentral:misc_RNA from 1 species